AUGGUCACGUUGCGCGCUUACAUGACCAUGUAACGUCACAGACCCUGAUCACGCGAGACCCCUUGGCCUGGAACUUGCUAGGCGGAGAUGUCCGGGUCCGCCGGGUAACCUGGCUACGAGAGACGCUUUGAUCCAGAAAUGGCUAGGCAGAAGUGUCCGCCUGAGGUCUAUCCUAUUCCUCCCACAUGCCUCCAAAAAAUAAAAGGAAUUCUCAACUCAUGCUGUUUUCAAUUGCUGUUGCUACUGCAGUCACCACUGAUGCUUACAGUCAAGGAUAAGAAACCGACAGAGAGAAGGAAGGCAUCAGGAAAACUGCAUGAGAACAUGUGUCUUAUUCAAGUGGAUGAGGACAGGAAAUGCUUACCACCAGAAAAGACAACCUGUUACCAACAGAAGACCGGCUGAGCUACAGAGAAGUAUGGGAAUCCAAUGUAGGGCCCAUAGGGUUUAGGAUUAGCUUGUAUGGUACCUAGCCCUGAGUGAUCACAUGAGUUGACUGGGAUCCAGUGAAAGCUCAUCAGACUUUCACUGGCUGCUGAGCUCUGGGUUAGUUAGUUUACAUGU